rnacentral:tRNA from 1 species
UUGGAUCACCUCCUUAACAGGAGACAACACAAUGAUUUUGAUGCUGAGUAUUUUUAUUCUUAGGCCGAAAUCCUGUCACCUUAGGUCGAUCGGUACCUUCAGCUUUUUAGUUAAGAAUCAGCAGCAAUGUUGAUUGCUUGAUGGAGAUUUUCAGUUCCUAAACUUUGUCUAGGUCACACCCCAAAAAGGGAUGAGACUCCUGGGCCAUUAGCUCAGGUGGUUAGAGCGCACCCCUGAUAAGGGUGAGGUCCCUGGUUCAAGUCCAGGAUGGCCCAUUCGGUGUUGGGGGUUUAGCUCAGUUGGUAGAGCGCCUGCUUUGCAAGCAGGAUGUCAGGAGUUCGAGUCUCCUAACCUCCACUGACCGAACUUUAUCCCCGCUCCAUGUAAUGGAGUUGAGCUCGAUUGGAGUGUGAUUUAGAUGUGUCCGCUGGAUGACCCCAGCUUCCUGUCAUUCCAAGUUUUAGGUUAAAAGCCUUGAAUUUGGUUGAUAAGAUGCUGGGCUCAGAUCAGAUGAUCAAGCGAUUGAUGAUUUGAUUUGAAGUUCUAGCAGAACCUUGACAACUGCAUAGGUGAAGUCUGGAAAAACAAAGCAUCUUACAGAUGCAUUGUUUUGAGUCUGAUCUUCUGAAAGGAAGAUUAGAACCAGAACAAUGAAAAUUCUUUUGAGCAAGAGCCGAGACUCUUGAAUGUUCUUUGAUUCGUGUCGAGCGAAUCAGAGUUUGAUCUUGUUUUUAGCAAUAAAAACUUGAGAAUCUGCUUUCAACGGCGGUAAGCGUUCAGGAGGUUAAUUGGUCAAGCUACAAAGGGCUCACGGCGGAUACCUUGGCACACAGAGGCGAUGAAGGA